UGGUGAAAUGCGGGUUUGAACACCAAGGACAUUUAGAUCUUCAGUCUGAAGCUUUAGCAGUUGAGCUUAUAUCGCC